rnacentral:rRNA from 1 species
ACUCCUACGGGAGGCAGCAGUGAGGAAUUUUCUGCAAUGGGCGAAAGCCUGACAGAGCAAUACCGCGUGAGGGAUGAAGGCCUCUGGGCUGUAAACCUCUUUUAUCAAGGAAGAAGAUCUGACGGUACUUGAUGAAUAAGCCACGGCUAAUUCCGUGCCAGCAGCCGCGGUAAUACA